rnacentral:rRNA from 1 species
AGAGUUUGAUCCUGGCUCAGGAUGAACGCUGGCGGCGUGCCUAAUACAUGCAAGUCGAACGAGGCCCUUUGUAUUCGUAUGAAGGUGUCCUAGUGGCGAACGGGUGAGUAACACGUAGGUGACCUACCCCGAAGAGGGGGACAACCCCGGGAAACUGGGGCUAAUACCCCAUGACCUCCAGGGAGUUAGAGGACCCUGGAGAAAAGGAUGCUAUGCAUUCGCUUUGGGAGGGGCCUGCGGCCCAUCAGCUAGUUGGUAGGGUAAUGGCCUACCAAGGCUACGACGGGUAGGGGGCCUGAGAGGGUGGUCCCCCACACUGGCACUGAAACACGGGCCAGACACCUACGGGUGGCAGCAGUAGGGAAUAUUGCCCAAUGGACGAAAGUCUGAGGCAGCAACGCCGCGUGCGCGAUGAAGGCCUUCGGGUUGUAAAGCGCUUUUCUGGGGGAAGAGGAAGGACGGUACCCCAGGAAUAAGUCUCGGCUAACUACGUGCCAGCAGCCGCGGUAAAACGUAGGAGGCAAGCGUUAUCCGGAUUUACUGGGCGUAAAGCGCGUGUAGGCGGUUUGGCAAGUUGGACGUGAAAGCUCCCGGCUCAACUGGGAGAGGCCGUUCGAAACUACCAGACUAGAGGGCAGUAGAGGGAGGUGGAAUUCUGGGUGUAGCGGUGAAAUGCGUAGAUAUCCAGAGGAACACCAGUGGCGAAGGCGGCCUCCUGGGCUGUCCCUGACGCUCAGACGCGAAAGCUAGGGUAGCAAACGGGAUUAGAAACCCCGGUAGUCCUAGCCGUAAACGAUGCAGACUUGGUGUUGGUGGUUUAAACGCCAUCAGUGCCGUAGCUAACGCGGUAAGUCUGCCGCCUGGGGACUACGGUCGCAAGGCUAAAACUCAAA